rnacentral:lncRNA from 1 species
GUUGCCCAGUAGAUACAACCCAAGAGGGGGGGUGAAUUGGGUCUUUUAAAACUUUUAACCUAUUUCUAAAAGUUUUGAUUAAUUAUGCUAAGUUGUAUAGAUGCACAGUGAAAUUUAAACUUAGCAACAGUUUGAUGUAUAGAAUUGAUUGAGUAUGCUUGCAACUAAAAGAUGCGCGGAUAAGAGUUAAGCAAGCAAUUUAUCUAAGUAAGUAAGUGAGUAAGUUAGACAAUGAUAAGAAGCAUUAUAAACACAACAAACAUAUAGUGGUUCGGUGCGCCCCAGCACCU